rnacentral:rRNA from 1 species
AUUGAACGCUAGCGGGAUGCUUUACACAUGCAAGUCGAACGGCAGCGCGGACUUCGGUCUGGCGGCGAGUGGCGAACGGGUGAGUAAUGUAUCGGAACGUGCCCAGUAGCGGGGGAUAACUACGCGAAAGCGUAGCUAAUACCGCAUACGCCCUACGGGGGAAAGCAGGGGAUCGUAAGACCUUGCACUAUUGGAGCGGCCGAUAUCGGAUUAGCUAGUUGGUGAGGUAACGGCUCACCAAGGCGACGAUCCGUAGCUGGUUUGAGAGGACGACCAGCCACACUGGGACUGAGACACGGCCCAGACUCCUACGGGAGGCAGCAGUGGGGAAUUUUGGACAAUGGGGGCAACCCUGAUCCAGCCAUCCCGCGUAUGCGAUGAAGGCCUUCGGGUUGUAAAGCACUUUUGGCAGGAAAGAAACGUCGCGGGCUAAUACCCCGUGGAACUGACGGUACCUGCAGAAUAAGCACCGGCUAACUACGU